CGUAGGGAGUCGCCUAGAAGUGACCGUACCGUAAGGAGCGUCCUAGGGUAAAAUCGGUAACUGGGGCU
rnacentral:rRNA from 1 species